AGAGUAGCUCAGUUGGUAGAGCAUGGCACCCUUAAUCUAAAGGUCAUGGGUCCAUGUCCCACCAUAGCUG